GCUUGUCUCAAAGAUUAAGCCAUGCAUGUCUCAGUACAAGCCAAAAUUAAAGGUGAAACCGCGAAAGGCUCAUUAAAUCAGUUAUGGUUCCUUAGAUCGUACCCACAAUUACUUGGAUAACUGUGGUAAUUCUAGAGCUAAUACAUGCAAACAGAGCUCCGACCGGAGACGGAAGGAGUGCUUUUAUUAGAUCAAAACCAAUCGGUGGCGGGCUCGUCAUCGUACAACUUGGUGACUCUGAAUAACUUUACGCUGAUCGCACGGUCAUCGCACCGGCGACGCAUCUUUCAAAUGUCUGCCUUAUCAACUGUCGAUGGUAGGUUCUGCGCCUACCAUGGUUGUAACGGGUAACGGGGAAUCAGGGUUCGAUUCCGGAGAGGGAGCCUGAGAAACGGCUACCACAUCCAAGGAAGGCAGCAGGCGCGCAAAUUACCCACUCCCGGCACGGGGAGGUAGUGACGAAAAAUAACGAUACGGGACUCAUCCGAGGCCCCGUAAUCGGAAUGAGUACACUCUAAACCCUUUAACGAGGAUCAAUUGGAGGGCAAGUCUGGUGCCAGCAGCCGCGGUA
rnacentral:rRNA from 1 species